UAAGGAAUAUUGGACAAUGGUCGCAAGACUGAUCCAGCCAUGCCGCGUGCAGGAAGACGGCCCUAUGGGCUGUAGACUGCUUUUGUACCAGAGAAAACCUAUCUACGUGUAGAUAGCUGAUAGUAUGGUAAGAAUAAGCAUCGGCUAACUUCGUGCCAGCAGCCGCGGUAAGACGAAGGAUGCAAGCGUUAUCCGGAUUCAUUGGGUUUAAAGGGUGCGUAGGCGGGCUUGUAAGUCAGUGGUGAAAUCUCUCAGCUUAACUGUAGAACUGCCUUUGAUACUUUUAUUCUUGAGUUCGGGAGAGAGAGACGGAAUUCCAGGUGUAGUGGUGAAAUACGUAGAUAUCUGGAAGAACACCAGUUGCGAAGGCGGUCUCUUGGUCCGACACUGACGCUGAGGCGCGAAAGCGUGGGGAGCAAACA
rnacentral:rRNA from 1 species